rnacentral:tRNA from 1 species
GCGAGAGUAGCUCAAUUGGUAGAGCGUCAGCCUUCCAAGCUGAGGGUUGCGAGUUCGAGUCUCGUCUCUCGCUCAA